rnacentral:rRNA from 1 species
CGAACGCUAGCGGCGAGCUUAACACAUGCAAGUCGAACGCGAACCUUCGGGUUCGAGUGGCGAACGGGUGAGUAACACGUGGGUUACCUGCCCCGAGGUGGGGAACAACCAAGGGAAACUUUGGCUAAUUCCGCAUGCGGUCUACGGAUCAAAGCCUUCGGGCGCCUUGGGAUGGGCCCGCGGCCCAUUAUUUAAUCCUUGUUGGUGGGGUAACGGCCUACCAAGGGUACGAUGGGUAGCUGGUCUGAGAGGAUGAUCAGCCACACUGGGACUGAGACACGGCCCAGACUCCUACGGGAGGCAGCAGUGGGGAAUAUUGCGCAAUGGACGAAAGUCUGACGCAGCUACGCCGCGUGGGUGAUGAAGGCCUUCGGGUCGUAAAGCCCUGUCGGUGGGGAAGAAUCAAAUGACGGUACCCACCAAGAAAGCACCGGCUAACUCC